AGAAGCUAAACAAAAGGGAAUUCCUCCGGUGGAAUGAAUGGGGCACACCGCCAGGAAUCAGCCGGGUUCUCUGGAAAGGCCACCCUCCAAGCCCUGCCCACUCCGCAGGGGGCUCCCUGUGCACCGGGGGCGUCUCCUUGUAGCCAUAGAAACCGAACCAGCUCCCUCUGCAGCAGAGGUCCGAGGGUUAUUUAAUUCUGGCUCCUGACGCCCUGCGCACGUACCUGCCUCCUCUCCGAGGGUUCAGGGGCACUGACCCACAGCGUCCCACUGAGAUGGGGUGCCACUCCAGCAAGGGCACCGAGGUGGUGCCUGAGCCCCAGAAGUCUGGAGAACAGUCCAAGGGAGAAGAACCGAGCGUGGAGCCUGGCGCCGAGGCAGCGGAUGCCAAGGUCACCCCCCUGGAGGAUGGACACCCCGAACCCCAGAGCUGAGCUGCUUUACUCCAAAGUCGGACCUGGCCUCGAUUCUGGAGCCGCUUUGGCCUCUGAAACAGGAGACAACCCAACAUUCUGAGAAGCUGCGCGCAGAGGGAGGAGAGCGAAAAGUCCCCCUUGCUUGGGAUCCAGGCUUCAGAACUGGGCUUUUCCUGCUGGGGUGGAGCGGGGUGUGGAGGGAGUGGGACGAUCACAGGAACCUACUCCCCAGCCUCCCGCAGAGGACAAAAGAAGUCUUCGGCUUCUGAAAACGAACAGGCCUGGCUGUAGACUCCUGUGGUCCAGUGACACUCUGCCCUUGGGCUGUGACAGUCCAGUGCCCCCCACCCCCGUCCCCCAACCUGGUGCACUCUCCGGAACUCUGGAGACUCUGUGGUCAUAACAUUGAUUGCGGUGUGUGGGUCUCAAUUUGGGCUCUUUGUCUCCUUUUUUUCAAUGGCUGGCUACACAGCCGACAUCCCUGACAGGAAGGGUUUUUUCUUUCUUUUCUUUUCUUUUUUUUUUUGCAUUUGGCUCACUGCACACUGUUUGCAUGAAUAAUUUAAUAUUUAACUUGCAGUAUUGUUAAUGAAUUGUGGGAAUGAUCAGGAUCAGAUGGGGAUCCCUUAAAUGGAAGGCAUGAAGCUUUGGUCAUUCAGUAAGUAGCCCUUUGAGUGCCGGUGGGAAGGAAGAAGGAGGAGGGAUUCAGGUUCCUAGUUAUUAAUCCCCUGAAAAAGGUCGGUCUGCUAAUAUUCACAUGUCUCCUACCAAAUGUCUGUCAAGUUGAACCUUCUAGCAUCUGAGCUAUCUGCAUCCAGCCUUCAAAAAUAUUUCACUGUUUACUAACAUGUCUGUCAACCUCUCUUUUUUCUCUCCUUGCAUGUGUUUUGGUUUUAAUGCAAAUGCUAAAGCAUUUUCAUUUGAAAUCAAAUAGACAUGUUUGCAAAUAAAUGACGACACAACACAUUUGAAGGACAGGAUGGGGGGAGGUGAGAUUGAAGGAUUGGCAGGGAGGGUGGGAGCAGUUCUGUGGAAGUGGAGUGAGAGCAGGAGGGAGCCUUCCUCUUGCCAGGCAUCACGCUGAGAACCCGCCAGGGGUAGUUUGAUUCACCCAGAAACACCAACCCAUUUUACAGGUGAGGAGAGUAAGUGACUUCCUUGAGUAUGGCCAGUCAUGAUUAGCAGAGACCAGAUUUGAACCCCAGAAGUAUGGCUUCUGAACCCAUGCAGAGUCUUGCUUAAAGAAGAGGUUUUUGCUGGGUGAGGUGGUAUCUGUAACUCCAGCUACUCCAGACCCCGAAGUAGGAGGAUCACAAGUUUGAGGUUUGAGGUUAGACUCAGCAAUUUAGGUCUACCCCAUCUCAAAAUAGAAAAAAAGAACUGGGAUGUAGCUUAGUGGUACUGAAGUAGAGGGGGGGUCUUUCUGGUGAAUAAACUGAAAUUCAAGUGUUUUUUUGUUUUUUUUUUUUUUGCUGACAUUCUGUGCUGUAAAGCAGGAACUGUUUCUCUUUAUUCAUUUGGGACUUAUCUGCCUGAGGAGCAAGAGGCCUCUGGUUGGCUUGGAGUCACCCUACUGCAGGUUGGCUGAGGCAUUCAGGGUCUUUUGUUUUUACUCUGAUGAGAGGGAGGAAGAGGAAGAGGGAGGAAGACGAGAAAGAGGAAAGGAGAUAGAGGAGGGAGGAAAAGGGUAGGAAGAACGGAGGGAGAGAGAGAUCCGACAUGGUGGAACAAGCCUGUAAUCGCAGCGAUUACAGGGAGGCUGAGGCAGGAGGAUCACAGGUUGGAGGCCAGCCUCAGAAACUUAGUGAGAUGCUGUCUCAAAAUAAAUAGUAAAAUGGCUGGGAUGUGGGUAAAGCACCCCUGGGUUCAAUCCCUAGUAAUCCUCCCGGACAAAAAGGAGGAGGUUGAAAGUAGGAGAGGGAAGGUGUGCAAUGGAAGAGAAAGCCUAUAAGGUACUAGAAGGGAUCCUUCUUCUCUGCCACAAGAACUUGGCAAACCAAAGAGGAAUUUUUUUUUGUGUGUAUGUGGUACUGGGGACUUGAACCCAGGGCCUUAUGCAUGCUAGGUAAGCACUCUACCAACUGAGCUAUAUUCCCAGCCCUGAAGAGGACUUAUUUUGAGACCAUAAGGUGAUGGUGGUAAAGAAGAAGGGAAAGAAGUGAAACCAUUCGGCCUAACCUUAACUACAAAAGCUUCCUUCUGCUUCAGCAGAGCCUGAACAGGAGCAGGAGGCCUCAUCCGCUGGCCCCAAGCCCUGCUCUGUCCCUGGGGGUGCUGAGCUUUCUGUGGGCCAGGAAACAGGCUUGGGCUUGUGGCUGGGGAUCAGGAAGUUCAAGGUCUCCUCCUACAGCCUCCUGGGCUCAGGCCAAGCUUUGGGAGCUGCUUUCACUUUUUUGGGGGACAACUUCUGUUUUCCUUUUUCCUUCCUCCUAAUGGAAAUUCGCCCUGUUUAACAGGACAGUGCUGGGGAGGAGAGGGCCCACACUCAGGACUGGUGGGAGAGUGAGGCUUGGAGGCCUCGCAGGACCCCCCUCAGAAGCCGAACUCGCUCAGCUUCUUACCUAAUCAAAGGAAGGAGGCUCUAGGCCAAAAGUUCAGAAACCUGGGUGGUUUGUCUUGCUUCCUUUUGGGAUGGAGCAAGAUGCUCAUUCGGUUAAGUUCAAGGUCUCUGAGGGCUCUAAAGAACAAGAUCCCUCACCCACCUCCAGCUGGGUGGCAGGCAUGCUGUACUUUGCCAGGGAGUUAAUCUCUAACAGGAAAAAGCACUUGCUGUUUCUGUUUAAGGACAUUCUCCUUGUUCCACUGGGCCCUGGUAUCACUCAUCUCUCUCUUUCCGAGGCUCAGGAAUAUCUCAAGUGCCAGGCGAAAGUGGUCAGGAUUAUGUCCUCUUUAAUAUGGCUUUAAGGCCUGGGAGUCUGCCCAGAUGGCUGUCGCUUGAAAGUCCUGGCUCUAGUACACUUCCAAGACUGCUGGAAGAGAAGAUUUGUUGUUAGCUAACUUAUCUCUCCACACGUCUUUCUGUCUGUCUCCACCUUUACCUGCCUCUACCCACGUAUCCAUUUAUUUAUACAUUCACAUUCAGUUUUUACCCUGAAGUUUUCAGUGAUAUGAGGCAACAAAUUUUCCCUUUUAUUUAUUUAUAUAUUUUUUGGAACCAGGGAUUGAACCCAGGUCACUUAACCAUUGAGCCACAUCC
rnacentral:lncRNA from 1 species